ensembl:lncRNA
GAUUGAUAGAAGCAGAUACUAUCUCAUUUUAUCAUUGAAAAAACUGGAGGUGCAAAACAAAAUGAAUUCUAAAGUUAGGACAGUUACAUGUUGGGAAUCAAUUUGAAACAGGUCUUUGAAGUAGAGUUUUUAAACCAUUGAAACGGAUACUGACAAUUAGAAUGGAGGGAAGGUAAUUCUUAUUUACUGAGGAACUAACAUAUGCCAGACUGUUUUGAGUCCUGUAUUACUGGACUCAAAGUACGCUUUGGAAGGAUGGUGUUUACCAAUAAUACCUCGUGAUCAGUGAUUAUAGUUGGAUUUCAAGCUUGUAUUGGUGGUGGUGUAUUUAACUGUUCCUGGUACUUUACGUUGAAGUGAGGUCAUCUUAUAUGAACAACUGAGAGAGACUUGCCAGAGAUUUCAGACUAAACGAUGCUAUAGAUUUAUUUGGAAAUCUGCAGAAUAAGUAAAUACAAUGUCUUUUAAGAACAGUGUAUUAUCUUUCUUCUGCUUCCUCACAGAUAUGUGUUCCUUAAAUAGGAGAGCACGUGGGCUUUUGCCACAGUUCCAGUAUGGAAGGGAGAUGCUUGAAAUCUAUUGCAGGUGGUUGGAAGGCUUUCCUGCCGUAUUUAUAGCCUUGGAAAGGAAUUUAUUAAAUGUUAAGCUGUUAGUUUUUCAUAUUAAAGCUUCAGCAUGCCUUGGCGAUCAUUGUGAAUUACUAUGCUGUGCACCUGGAACUAACAUAGUGUUGUUGGUCAGUUAAACUUAAAAAAAAAAAGCUUCAUUCACAAUCUCAUGGAAUCCUACUAAGUGGUGGAGUUUAGCUUAUUGCUUUUGUUAAUGAUGAGAUAGGUAACUGGCCCAAUGUACACUUUUCUGUUAAAAUAUGACUUAAGAGAAUUCAAGAUUUUUCUUUAAAGUCAGUGUUCUAAGCAUUUCAUGUCCUUUCAGGUCUUAGAGAAUAGAGUGCUGGUUUUUCUGUUCUACUUUUGUACAUAUUUUAAAUAUUCAUUAAAAAGAAAAUGAUUUGAGAAUUCCCUGGUGGUCCAGUGGUUAGG